UCAAGCGUUGUUCGGAUUCAUUGGGCGUAAAGGGUGCGUAGGCGGCGCGGUAAGUCGGGUGUGAAAUCUCGGAGCUUAACUCCGAAACUGCAUUCGAUACUGCCGUGCUUGAGGACUGGAGAGGAGACUGGAAUUUACGGUGUAGCGGUGAAAUGCGUAGAUAUCGUAAGGAAGACCAGUGGCGAAGGCGGGUCUCUGGACAGUUCCUGACGCUGAGGCACGAAGGCCAGGGGAGCAAACGGG
rnacentral:rRNA from 1 species